GAAACGCGUGUGUGAUGAAGGUCUUAGGAUUGUAAAACACUUUCAGCAAGGGAAAAAAUUAAUAUAAAUAAUACUUAUAUUAACUGAUAUUACCUGCAAAAGAAGUACCGGCUAACUCCGUGCCAGCAGCCGCGGUAAUACGGAGGGUACAAGCGUUAAUCGGAAUUAUUGGGCGUAAAGAGUACGUAGGUGGUAUAUUAAGUCAGAUGUGAAAUACUUAAGCUUAACUUAAGAACUGCAUUUGAAACUAAUAAACUAGAGUUUUAUAGAGGGGAGUAGAAUUCCAAGUGUAGCGGUGAAAUGCGUAGAUAUUUGGAGGAAUACCAGAGGCGAAGGCGACUCCCUGGGUAAUAACUGACACUGAGGUACGAAAGCUUGGGGAGCAAACAGGAUUAGAUACCCUGGUAGUCCAUGCUGUAAACGAUGUCAAUUUGAAGAUUGUAAUAUUAUUAUUUUUUAUAAUUCUCGUAGCUAACGCAUUAAAUUGACCGCCUGGCGGAUUACGACCGCAAAGGUUAACAACUCAAAAUGAAAUUGACGGGGACCCGCACAAGCGGUUGGACGCAUGUGGUUUAAUUUCGAUUACAACGGCGAACAAA
rnacentral:rRNA from 1 species